GGGCAGAUACCCAAGCGGCCAAAGGGGCCUGACUGUAAAUCAGGUGGCUUAUGCCUUCGAAGGUUCGAAUCCUUCUCUGCCCACCA
rnacentral:tRNA from 1 species